GUCGAACGAAGCACAGAAAGCAGAUUACUUCGGUUUGAAGCUUUCUGUGACUGAGUGGCGGACGGGUGAGUAACGCGUGGAUAACCUGCCUCACACAGGGGGAUAACAGUUAGAAAUGACUGCUAAUACCGCAUAAGCGCACAGUCUCGCAUGGGACAGUGUGAAAAACUGAGGUGGUGUGAGAUGGAUCCGCGUCUGAUUAGGCAGUUGGCGGGGUAACGGCCCACCAAACCAACGAUCAGUAGCCGGCCUGAGAGGGUGAACGGCCACAUUGGGACUGAGACACGGCCCAAACUCCUACGGGAGGCAGCAGUGGGGAAUAUUGCACAAUGGGGGAAACCCUGAUGCAGCGACGCCGCGUGAAGGAAGAAGUAUUUCGGUAUGUAAACUUCUAUCAGCAGGGAAGAAAAUGACGGUACCUGACUAAGAAGCCCCGGCUAACUACGUGCCAGCAGCCGCGGUAAUACGUAGGGGGCAAGCGUUAUCCGGAUUUACUGGGUGUAAAGGGAGCGUAGGCGGCGAUGCAAGUCAGAAGUGAAAGCCCGGGGCUCAACUCCGGGACUGCUUUUGAAACUGUAUGGCUAGAUUGCAGGAGAGGCAAGUGGAAUUCCUAGUGUAGCGGUGAAAUGCGUAGAUAUUAGGAGGAACACCAGUGGCGAAGGCGGCUUGCUGGACUGUAAAUGACGCUGAGGCUCGAAAGCGUGGGGAGCAAACAGGAUUAGAUACCCUGGUAGUCCACGCCGUANACGAUGAAUACUAGGUGUCAG
rnacentral:rRNA from 1 species